rnacentral:tRNA from 1 species
UCUCCUGUAGCUGCAGUGGCAGAGCGUCCAACUGGUGUGCGGAAGGUUAUAGGUUCGACUCCUGUUGGGAGAA